UAUUCAAAUUAUAAGUGGCAUUGUAGUAAACAGAAGAUUGAGGCAAAUAUUAGUAUGACAUGAAUUAGUUGACGGGAGUUUCUCUCCUUUGAGAGGACUGCGUCUUCCCACAGUGGAGAUGGCUUCCAUGCUGGUUCAAGGCUAGCUAGCGUGUGGUAACAACUAUUCUUCUCACGAGAUGAAUAUAAAAUAACAACGAAAGAUGGCCAUUUUAGGGACAGCCGUAAAGAAAAAUUAUGAGAAGAAAGACGACAAUUCACAAGACAACCGCAAGUCUACAGCUAAUGGCAAAAGACUACACAAUAUUUAUCUUUUCCUUAUGUUCCUAUUAUAGGUUUAAUCAUGUUCUAGCUUAUCUAUUGAGAUUCAUC